rnacentral:misc_RNA from 1 species
UUUCCGUAGGUGAACCUGCGGAAGGAUCAUUACCGAGUAUCGGGUGCUCUCGCGCCCUGCUCCCACCCCAUGUUGACUUGCAACCGUUGCUUUGGCGGGCCGGUGGGUCACCCACCGCCUGGAGAGCGCCCGCCAGAGGACCAAACAAAACUCUUAUCAACCUGUCGCGUCUGAGCGAGCGAGAAUUGACUAAAACUUUCAACAACGGAUCUCUUGGUUCUGGCAUCGAUGAAGAACGCAGC